UGAGGAAUAUUGGACAAUGGGUGAGAGCCUGAUCCAGCCAUCCCGCGUGAAGGAUUAAGGACCUAUGGUUUGUAAACUUCUUUUAUACAGGGAUAAACCUUUCUACGUGUAGAAAGCUGAAGGUACUGUAUGAAUAAGCACCGGCUAACUCCGUGCCAGCAGCCGCGGUAAUACGGAGGGUGCAAGCGUUAUCCGGAUUUAUUGGGUUUAAAGGGUCCGUAGGCGGACUUAUAAGUCAGCGGUGAAAUCUCGUAGCUUAACUACGAAACUGCCAUUGAUACUGUAAGUCUUGAGUGUAGUUGAGGUAGCUGGAAUAAGUAGUGUAGCGGUGAAAUGCAUAGAUAUUACUUAGAACACCAAUUGCGAAGGCAGGUUACCAAGUUACAACUGACGCUGAUGGACGAAAGCGUGGGGAGCGAACA
rnacentral:rRNA from 1 species